rnacentral:rRNA from 1 species
UACGUAGGGGGCAAGCGUUGUCCGGAAUCAUUGGGCGUAAAGAGCGUGUAGGCGGCCUGAUAAGUCGGCUGUGAAAGUCAAGGGCUCAACCCUUGAAUGCCGGCCGAUACUGUCAGGCUAGAAUCCGGAAGAGGCGAGUGGGAAUUCCUGGUGUAGCGGUGAAAUGCGCAGAUAUCAGGAGGAACACCUAUGGCGAAGGCAGCUCGCUGGGACGGUAUUGACGCUGAGACGCGAAAGCGUGGGGAGCGAACAGG